rnacentral:rRNA from 1 species
AGGACGAACGCUGGCGGCGUGCUUAACACAUGCAAGUCGAACGGUGACCUCGGAGCUUGCUCCGGGCGAUCAGUGGCGAACGGGUGAGUAACACGUGAGCAACCUGCCCCUGGCUCUGGGAUAACCCCGGGAAACCGGAGCUAAUACCGGAUACGAGACCGAAUGGCAUCUUUACGGUCUGGAAAGUUUUUCGGCCAGGGAUGGGCUCGCGGCCUAUCAGCUUGUUGGCGGGGUAAUGGCCCACCAAGGCGACGACGGGUAGCCGGCCUGAGAGGGCGACCGGCCACACUGGGACUGAGACACGGCCCAGACUCCUACGGGAGGCAGCAGUGGGAAUAUGCGCAAUGGGCGAAAGCCUGACGCAGCGACGCCGCGUGAGGAUGAAGGCCUUCGGGUGUAAACCUCUUUCAGCAGGAGAAGCGAAAGUGACGUACCUGCAGAAGAAGCAACCGGCUAACGUACGUGCUAGCAAGCCG